AUCACCUCAAUGGACACACUGGGGAUCGUGUUUACCAAUGCGGUGAAUGCAAAGAUCAGCGUAUGCCUUCCGGAUGGGAUGUCUGGUGCACAAAAUCUUCGACCAUGUGAAGCUGAACGGCGUAUACGUGUGCCCCGGGCUGUCGAGCGGCACAAGUACCGGCACAGCCGAGUACUGCACCAGUAGCAGCAACAGCACCAGCACCAGCUAGAUCUAAUAAUGGCACACAGCGGAAGAAGAAAUUCCGUCAACGCCGGUCAACAGGUCAACAGCUUCGUCUUGAUGGACGAUCGCAUAGUUGAUGUAAUUUCCUUGGAAAAAACUUAUUCAUCUCGGACAGUCAAAUGCCUAAGCAAGCUGAUUUGUUUAUGCUGGAUCUCUGACACUGAGCUGGCGGGUGGAUUGGACGACGGUCAUCUGAUGAUGUUCAACGUGGACGACGGUGACGAAGAGACUAUGAAUCACGAGUUAAAGCAAAAUUUGCACAAUAAACAUCCGGUGCCUGCCGACUUGCAUGUUGAUUACGGAGGCGGAUGAAUUGGGUUUGCACAAGUACCCUCAGCAGUCAGAGCACAAUUGUUAUUAAUAAAGGUGGAGUUUGGAAGCAUUUGAUCGGUAUGGUCACAGUGGAAACGGAAGACCCCAUUCGAGAAGCAAGCAAACAACCGCGCCCUGAAAAAUAAAAGAAAAACAAGCGAUACGUUCUGGUGAACAAAACCGAUAACAAUAUGAGCACUCCCUUGCCAAAUAAACAGAAGGAUGAUUCACAAUUAAAGCCAGAGGGAAUCAAAACGCCAUUAACUCAGAAAAUAAAAAAAAGGUCAAGGAAGGAAUUGUGGCCGUACGUGAAAACAGCUGGACAGGCGGUCUCCAGGCGCGCACGUUCCUUAUCCACAUGAGUUGCGCGUGGCCCAUUUCCUCCGGAACUUGAACUUUGUUGUGCCUCAACACGGAACCAAAACCAAAGUCACUACCGAAAAGUUGUUGCACUCAGGAUGUUGCACUCACUCAUAACCUGCCAAUCCAGCUAGUUGACGUAGAUGUGGAUCAGUAAUCCCAGUUGAGUAACCGCGAAUCGAAUCCGAAAUCUGCUGCGUGAUCUGGUCAAGCUUCUUAAGAUCAUCGGGUCCGAUCCAAGAUACUACCAACAAGGACGACUAUCACCGUAAUUUAAGCCCAAUCAGGAAUCGCAGCACUCGAGAACCCGGUUGGAGAUCAAGAGAUGCGAUUAAUGCUAUGGAGCAGCUACAUUAACGUCCGCUGGCAAUGCUGUCUUUAGGGCAAACGCCAGCGUUGAAGCCUCGUCAUCACCAGCAAUUAUUGACCUGGAAUAUAGGAUAUCGUCAGUAGAAGAUUAUUACCCAGAAUAAUAUUUAAUUCUCGAUUUAAUUAAUAAUAAACAUGACAGUUUAGUAUAGCGUA